GAACUCGCAGAAAGCAUGCAAAAUCUUGGACUACAAGUCCCAGCAUGCUCUGCACCGCGUCCGGACCGGCCGGACACCAUCGUAGGUGCGGGCCGCAUGAAUGGAGGAGCAUUGGGCGUAAGGCCAAGCCUGCCGCAGUCCACACGGCCCCGGUACCUACUCCCAGAGCGUGCCUCAGUCCUGGCAUCUCAGGACUCUGUCAUCACUCAUCUUGUGCUAUGGCUCUACUGCUCAAUGAAGAAGCAAUAUAUCUUUAAUUCAGGACUCUGCCCAGUGCUAUUCAACUCUAACCUGAGGGCAGUAACACUCAUGUAACUCCUGGUCUGAAUUCAGAACUUCAGGUUACAAGCAAGCUGACCACUGAUUGCUUCAGUGCAAUACGGCAUCUACUGUCAAGGAAAUCAUUUGUUAAACCCUAUUUAGUUACUGAAUCUUCAGGUCCAGGGAUGUUUACAUUUCUGGGUCCAAAUCAGUGUACUUAUGGAAAAUAAAGGCAUGUUUGAAAUUGUUUA